UACGUAGGGCGCAAGCGUUUGUCCGGAAUUAUUGGGCGUAAAGAGCUCGUAGGCGGUUUGUCGCGUCUGCUGUGAAAACCUAAGGCUCAACCUUGGGCUUGCAGUGGGUACGGGCAGACUAGAGUGCGGUAGGGGUGACUGGAAUUCCUGGUGUAGCGGUGGAAUGCGCAGAUAUCAGGAGGAACACCGAUGGCGAAGGCAGGUCACUGGGCCGCAACUGACGCU
rnacentral:rRNA from 1 species